GUGGGGAAUAUUGGACAAUGGGGGAAACCCUGAUCCAGCCAUGCCGCGUGUGUGAAGAAGGCCUUCGGGUUGUAAAGCACUUUAAGCAGGGAGGAAAGGGUGUUGGCUAAUAUCCAGCAUCAUUGACGUUACCUGCAGAAUAAGCACCGGCUAACUUCGUGCCAGCAGCCGCGGUAAUACGAAGGGUGCAAGCGUUAAUCGGAAUUACUGGGCGUAAAGCGCGCGUAGGCGGUUUGGUAAGUGUGAUGUGAAAGCCCCGGGCUCAACCUGGGAAUUGCCUCACAUACUGCUAAGCUAGAGUACGGGAGAGGGGGGUAGAAUUCCACGGGUAGCGGUGAAAUGCGUAGAGAUGUGGAGGAAUACCGGUGGCGAAGGCGGCCCCCUGGAUCGAUACUGACGCUGAGGUGCGAAAGCGUGGGGAGCAAACAGGAUUAGAAACCCUGGUAGUCC
rnacentral:rRNA from 1 species